UACGGAGGGUGCGAGCGUUGUCCGGAAUCACUGGGCGUAAAGGGCGCGUAGGGGCGGCGUAGGCACGCGGUGAAAGCCCGGGGCUCAACCCCGGGUCGGCCGUGCGGACUGCCGCGCUGGAGCACUGUAGAGGCGGGCGGAAUUCCGGGCGUAGCGGUGGAAUGCGUAGAGAUCCGGAAGAACACCGGUGGCGAAGGCGGCCCGCUGGGCAGUGGCUGACGCUGAGGCGCGACAGCGUGGGGAGCAAACAGG
rnacentral:rRNA from 1 species